CCGAAUUCGUCGACAACAGAGUUUGAUCCUGGCUCAGGACGAACGCUGGCGGCAUGCCUAAUACAUGCAAGUCGAGCGGACUUGAAGAGAAGCUUGCUUCUCUAAUGGUUAGCGGCGGACGGGUGAGUAACACGUAGGCAACCUGCCCUCAAGCUUGGGACAACUACCGGAAACGGUAGCUAAUACCGAAUACUUGCUUCUUUCGCCUGAAGGGAGCUGGAAAGACGGAGCAAUCUGUCACUUGAGGAUGGGCCUGCGGCGCAUUAGCUAGUUGGUGAGGUAACGGCUCACCAAGGCGACGAUGCGUAGCCGACCUGAGAGGGUGAUCGGCCACACUGGGACUGAGACACGGCCCAGACUCCUACGGGAGGCAGCAGUAGGGAAUCUUCCGCAAUGGGCGAAAGCCUGACGGAGCAAUGCCGCGUGAGUGAUGAAGGUUUUCGGAUCGUAAAGCUCUGUUGCCAGGGAAGAACGUCCUUGAGAGUAACUGCUCAAGGAGUGACGGUACCUGAGAAGAAAGCCCCGGCUAACUACGUGCCAGCAGCCGCGGUAAUACGUAGGGGGCAAGCGUUGUCCGGAAUUAUUGGGCGUAAAGCGCGCGCAGGCGGUCAUUUAAGUCUGGUGUUUAAUCCCGGGGCUCAACCCCGGAUCGCACUGGAAACUGGGUGGCUUGAGUGCAGAAGAGGAGAGUGGAAUUCCACGUGUAGCGGUGAAAUGCGU
rnacentral:rRNA from 1 species